GCGGCGGCACGCAGGGCGGUGCUUUCCGCAAACACAAAGCAAGUAAGCAAAGUAAGCAAAGUAAGGAGAAUGAGACUCAACGUGCAUUCUGGGAGAUAGGCAAGGAGGGGCCAGACAGGCGGGGCCUCACAGGCCGUGAGAAGCAUUCGCUUGCAGCCUUAGAACUUUGAGGAGCCACGGAAGGGCUCCUGACAGGGGACAGACAGAAUCAGUUUCAAAGUCUUCACUUCACAUGAAAACGGAACCUUGGCUGGACGUCUGAACAGCGGAGCAAAAUCUCAUUAAUGGCAAGAACCAUAAUCCACUCUACACGAGGAGGAGGAGAGGCGGCUGAAGUUUACCCUUGUCGUAACUAUAAAAAAAAGGAGUCGGCUAUGGAAAUUAACCAUCUGAAUAAAAAUGGCUUCAUCUA